rnacentral:rRNA from 1 species
GACGUAGGGCGCGAGCGUUGUCCGGAUUUAUUGGGCGUAAAGAGCUCGUAGGCGGUUUGUCGCGUCGAAUGUGAAAACCCGGGGCUCAACCCCGGGCCUGCAUUCGAUACGGGCAGACUAGAGUUCGGUAGGGGAGUCUGGAAUUCCUGGUGUAGCGGUGAAAUGCGCAGAUAUCAGGAGGAACACCGGUGGCGAAGGCGGGUCUCUGGGCCGAUACUGACGCUGAGGAGCGAAAGCGUGGGGAGCGAACAGG